rnacentral:misc_RNA from 1 species
GGGAGGAGUUGGGGGAAGGAGGUGAGGGGAAGGGAUGGGGUGGGGGUUGUAAAAAACAAUUUGCAAGGUUCAUUCUGAAAACCUAUGUGGAAAAGGCAUUAAUAUUAACAAACUUGUUUUUCAAUCUACGCAAAACUAACAGCUCCGUCAUCCGCUCUGGACAGCUUUAAGACUCUUGUUCAGAGAUUUGAAGAUAUACCAUCUGUGUAUAACCAUUAAAUACAGAUGUCUCUAGUCUACCUAGACCAAGCCACUGAAACAGGCCAUAGCGACCAUCUUCCACAAUAGGUGAGGUAGUUCGAGCAGGAUCAUACCGUGUUUG